AGAGUUUGAUCCUGGCUCAGAUUGAACGCUGGCGGCAUGCCUUACACAUGCAAGUCGAACGGCAGCACGGGGGCAACCCUGGUGGCGAGUGGCGAACGGGUGAGUAAUACAUCGGAACGUGUCCUGUAGUGGGGGAUAGCCCGGCGAAAGCCGGAUUAAUACCGCAUACGAUCUACGGAAGAAAGCGGGGGAUCCUUCGGGACCUCGCGCUACAGGGGCGGCCGAUGGCAGAUUAGCUAGUUGGUGGGGUAAAGGCCUACCAAGGCGACGAUCUGUAGCUGGUCUGKGAGGACGACCAGCCACACUGGGASUGAGACACGGCCCAGACUCCUACGGGAGGCAGCAGUGGGGAAUUUUGGACAAUGGGGGAAACCCUGAUCCAGCAAUGCCGCGUGUGUGAAGAAGGCCUUCGGGUUGUAAAGCACUUUUGUCCGGAAAGAAAGCUUCUGCCCUAAUACGGUGGGAGGAUGACGGUACCGGAAGAAUAAGCACCGGCUAACUACGUGCCAGCAGCCGCGGUAAUA
rnacentral:rRNA from 1 species